rnacentral:rRNA from 1 species
AAUAUUGGACAAUGGGGGCAACCCUGAACCAGCCAUGCCGCGUGUGUGAAGAAGGUCUUCGGAUUAUACAGCACUUUAAGUUGGGAGUAAGGGCUUUAGGUUAAUACCCUGAAGUCUUGACGUUACCAACUGAAUAAGCACCGGCUAACCCCGUGCCAGAAGCUUCGGUAAUACAGAGGGUGCAAGCGUUAAUCGGAAUUACUGGGCGUAAGGCGCGCGUAGGUUGUUCAGUAAGAUGGGUGUGAAAUCCCCGGGCUUAACCUGGGAACUGCUUUCAUAACUGCUGAGCUAGAGUACGGUAGAGGGUAGUGGAAUUUCCUGUGUAGCGGUGAAAUGCGUAGAUAUAGGAAGGAACACCAGUGGCGAAGGCGACUACCUGGACUGAUACUGACACUGAGGUGCGAAAGCGUGGGGAGCAAACA